rnacentral:rRNA from 1 species
UACGUAGGGGGCUAGCGUUGUCCGGAAUCAUUGGGCGUAAAGAGCGUGUAGGCGGCUCGGUAAGUCCGCUGUGAAAGUCCAGGGCUCAACCCUGGAAUGCCAGUGGAAACUGUCGAGCUAGAGUCCGGAAGAGGCGAGUGGAAUUCCUGGUGUAGCGGUGAAAUGCGCAGAUAUCAGGAGGAACACCAAUUGCGAAGGCAGCUCGCUGGGACGUUACUGACGCUGAGACGCGAAAGCGUGGGGAGCGAACAGG